rnacentral:rRNA from 1 species
GAUGAACGCUAGCUACAGGCUUAACACAUGCAAGUCGAGGGACCGGCGCACGGGUGAGUAACACGUAUCCAACCUGCCCUUUACUCGGGGAUAGCCUUUCGAAAGAAAGAUUAAUACCCGAUAUAAAGGAUGGGGAUGCGUUCCAGUAGUUUGUUGGUGAGGUAACGGCUCACCAAGCCUUCGAUGGAUAGGGGUGCUGAGAGGAAGGUCCCCCACAUUGGAACUGAGACACGGUCCAAACUCCUACGGGAGGCAGCAGUGAGGAAUAUUGGUCAAUGGGCGCUAGCCUGAACCAGCUAAGUAGCGUGAAGGAUGAAGGUUUCGGAUUGUAAAGCACUUUAAGUUGGGAGCGUUACCAACAGAAUAAGCACCGGCUAACUUCGUGCCAGCAGCCGCGGUAAUUC